rnacentral:rRNA from 1 species
UACGGAGGGGGUUAGCGUUGUUCGGAAUGACUGGGCGUAAAGCGCGCGUAGGCGGCUCGGAAAGUCGGGGGUGAAAUCCCGGGGCUCAACCCCGGAAUGGCCUUCGAAACUCCCGGUCUUGAGUUCGAGAGAGGUGAGUGGAAUUCCGAGUGUAGAGGUGAAAUUCGUAGAUAUUCGGAGGAACACCAGUGGCGAAGGCGGCUCACUGGCUCGACACUGACGCUGAGGUGCGAAAGCGUGGGGAGCAAACAGG